UACGUAGGGGGCAAGCGUUGUCCGGAUUUAUUGGGCGUAAAGAGCGUGUAGGCGGCCAUGUAGGUCCGUUAUGAAAACUCGAGGCUCAACCUCGAGACGCCGAUGGAAACCAUGUGGCUAGAGUCCGGAAGAGGAGAGUGGAAUUCCUGGUGUAGCGGUGAAAUGCGCAGAUAUCAGGAAGAACACCCGUGGCUAAGGCGGCUCUCUAGUACGGUACUGACGCUGAGACGCGAAAGCGUGGGGAGCGAACAGG
rnacentral:rRNA from 1 species